AUUAUACUAACUUUAAAAAGAUAAAUUGUCCCCGCGGUGUACCGCGGGUUAAAAUCUAGUUGAGGUACAUAAUGCGAACCAAUCGCUAGUACCUAGAUAUACUACAUAUCAUAAUGACUAAUACAUUAUUUUAGAAGCCUCUCGCAUGAU
rnacentral:sRNA from 1 species